rnacentral:lncRNA from 1 species
UGGGAGUGAGUAUUUGCAUUGCUGAAGCAAGAGGAAGCAUGGACCGAUUUUACAGGCUGGACAGCCCCAGGCAGGGAGGUCGGCAGAAGAGGACCAGAACCAUAAUGAGGCAGCAAGGCCACCUGCACUUCUCAUCCAGGAGCUGUCCCUGCAGGAGAUGCCCUGUCCUGUGCUGCGAAGCUUCUGUCACCCUACUGUCACCAGUGGUGAGCAGCCAUGUGUAGGAUGCACCGUAUCUGGCCUGGGAAUAUGGUGGUGAGAGGAUGUCAGGUCCGUGGUCUCAGAGCUACCAGCUGGAGAGGUGCAGGUGUCCGAGGAGGUAAAGGUAUCACAGGGUUGGGAUGAGGGCUGGGUGCAGUGACGGGG